AAGGGAAAGGGACUGGGUAGGAUGGGUGGGAAGGGAGAGAUAAGGGGAUUAAGGGGUAUUAUGAUUAACCCACAUAAUUUGGGGAGGCACUAGGAAGGAAGUAUAGCACAGAGAACACAGGUAGUGACUCUAUAACAUCUUAUUAUGUUGAUGGACAGUGAUUGUAAUGGAGUAUGUGGUUGGGACUUGAUAAUAGGGGGGAAUGUGUAACCUGAGCAUAGGAUUGUAUAUGAGCAUAGGAUUGUUUAUCAAUGAUACAUUAAUAAAAAAAAUGAUGCUGGCAUAGGAAAUAGGAAAAACGAAAUAAAGAGUGUGAAGACAAAAAUAUAAAGUGAGAGAAAUUGAAAAGAGAGGGAGCAUUCAGCCAAAUGUUGCUCUUCAAGGAAGUUUAAUUAAAAAAUGUGAAAAUCCAUAAUCAAUAGCACAGUAGGAGAAAAUUAUUUUGUGUAAAUUAAGAAUUUGUGUGUGAUUGACAAGUUUGUUAGGAAGUCAAUGAAAAUAUAAUUAAAUAACACAACCUAAAGAUAGUCUGAUGUUUAAACAUAAAUGAAAAAUUACAAGCUCAUAGGCAGUAUUAAACAAAUAAAAAUAAAACAUAACAAAAACUCUCUCUCACACACACCUAAGAGCUACCUCUCUUCUAAUGGUUUGAAAACAAAUGGGGAACCAGUUGCAUCAUCUUACUGGCUCCCUCAUUAAUUAAUAUGUUAGAAUUUGACACUGCCACUUAAUAUUCAUUAGAGAAUAAUGAUUUUUGCCUCCUUGUUAGAUUUAUUCUUGAACAGUUUGGAGGUCAUGCACCAAACUGUGCAGUGGAUUCACCUGAAAGAGCCCGAUAAAUUACACUGUCAGAGCAGUGAGACUCAGAUAACUAAAAUCCAAAUAAAUCUUAUCCUGGCUUCUAGAGAUGAAAUAAAAAGCUGCGAUAGAACAAAAUAUGGGUUACCUUCGUUCUCCAGGUUUUUUCUAUUUGAUAUUUCCUCUGAUUCUAUGAUUUACUUUUAUUUCUCAUUUGCUAACAUUCAAUAAAUUAUUCCCCACUUUUGCAACAAUGAUUGGGUACUUGCUUAUAUGGUCUGAUUAUUUGAUGAUUUCUGUAGAUGAACAAUAAAUAUCUGUUUUCUGUUGGCUGAGAGAUGGCAGAAAAUCUAAUUUGUUAGUCUUUUUUGUUGAGUUUUGUGUCUAUAUUUUAGCUCAUAUUAAUUAAGAAUGAUGAUAAUUUCUAAGUAACUUAAGUAACUUAAAACCUUAGACUGGCAUAAAAAUUGAUUUUAAUUCAUUAUUAUGGAUAAUUUUUAAAAAUUGAUGGGCAAUCACUAGUAGAUAAUUUCUUAAAAGGAGAGAAUUCUGAAACAUUGAGUAUAAAGUAUAAAUGCAAGCUUAUAAAUACUUUGAUUUCUUAUUUUUGUAUUCUAUGCAGAGAUUAUAUCUUUGUAUCAUAUUACUGUUUAUUUUUGUGACUUUAAGAAGAUGAAAAAGGGAUGUGUGUGGCUGUAUAUUUUGUGUUAUGUGUGCUCACCACUUUGAUAGUCUGCUAAAUGUUUGUGUGUGCCAGACAGUUUUUAAUAGUUCAUCCUCAUUCCCCAGUUUUCUCUGUAAAAUAGAAGUUAGUUACUUUAGCUGAAGUUAAUUAAUAUGAAUAGCUAAGUCUAUAUUAGGAACAGUAGUGACAGAGGAAUACAAUUUUAUGCACAUACUUUUGUUUUUCGAGGAAAAAGAGAAGUUCAUUCUAUAGCAUUCUAUAGCAUUCAUAUAGACUUUUUUAGUCUCUAGCCCUCUUUACACUUUUGGAUUUAUUGAAGUCCCUAGAGAGCUUCUGUUUAUGUGACUUUUAGCCAAUCAGUGCUUACUAUGAUGAAAAUGUGAACUGUAAAAUAUUUUAAAUAUAUAUUUGUCAAUUCAUCUGAAGAUAACAAUGAUGAACAUAAUGUAUUUUAACAAAAAUAACAUUUUGGUAUUAUUGUGAAAAUAGUUUUGAAUUCAUAAUACCUCUCAGGAAGAAUUGCUCACCUAAAAUAUUAGUUUGUUUCAUAGUAUGAAAUAUUAAAGGAUGAAACUUGGAAAGUGAUUUUAUUUGCUUGCUUAGAAUAUUGUGUUUAUAAAAAAAACAAUAAAUUGUUUUAAAAACAAGCAAAUUUCAUUCAGACUAUGUAGGCUUGCUUCUUUGAUUUACUGAUGAAUAACUCUGACUACAAUAUGAAAGAAUUUUCUUCCCUUAUGUGUAAUCUGUAUUGUUAGAAAUGAUUCUUUGUCUUAGAAUACAUGUUCUUUAUGUUGACUUUAUUCUUGAUUACUCAAGAAUAAAAGCAAAAAUAAUGAUUUCUCACUUACAGAAAGCUAAGGUCCUUUCAAUCGUCAUGCUUAUUUUUAAACGAUUUAUUAUCACUUCAUUUCAAAAAUUCACAAAUCAACAAAGUGUCAUUAUCAUAUUUAAUUAAGUGUGUAAUUCUCCUCUGACAACUUUUUAUAAAUGUUCUUUCCUAAAACUGCUCCUGAUUACAAAAACAGAAUAUUCUUUACACCAAAACUAUUGAGAUGGCCUAUAAGGCCUUUGGAAAAUCACAAUUGUUUUUUGAACUUCUAAGAAGAUUCUUGAAAUAUGAUUGGUGUUUACUACUGUAAGAGUCUCAUGGGGAGCAUUGUCAGAUUGGAAGAGGUGAUCAAAUCAGCCUAUUCGAGGUCAAAUUUGUGUAGGUAAAAUAUUGUUUAUAUAAAUAUUUCAGGAAGUCUAUGUUUUUUUGAAGUCCCUAAAGAUUUCAUUGCCCUUAUUGUCAAUAAUAUGUUUUUAUCUCAAGGUAAACACUGACAGAAAGUGUCUAUGUGAUAGUUAGAUAUGCACCUUGAAAGAAAAUUUUGCUCUCUUCCAUUAUGUUAACUUUGUGUUUGUGUUCUCAACAACAAGGAAGGUCUUAGAGCCUUGUGAAAAAAAGGAUUGCAUUGGGUAUUUAAAAUUACUGUAACUUCAAAGAAUAGAUUCUUGGAUAUAGGCUUCUGAGGUCAUAUCACUUAAAAACUUUCAGAACUGUACCUGUGGACUGAGUUAGGAUUUCCAGAACUCUUUUUAGUCUGGAAGGCUUCAUGAGAGCAGGCUUCUCACCCAAGAUGUAAUGAAAUAAGUAUUAAUUAUAUAAGAUGGAAUGAACUGUGAAGGAAAAUUUUUUGUGGUACUUGAAAUAGAGAUUAAUUUAAUGUUCUUUUUCAUGAAUUUAUAAGGAAUCCAUUUUUCUCCCAUCUCAAGCUUUUGGUAACUCAAACACACAUUAAACCCUAGCUGUAUAUACUAAAAUAAACAUUUUUAAAAUGUUAUCUCAUUUUUUAUGACCACCAAGUAUUCAGAAACUUACUAAUCUUCUUACUUUUAAUGGAAAUGUACUUAGCUGCAGAUGUUCAAUAAGCAUUCAUCUGUAUAUUUACUAAGAUAUAUUAAGACAAAUCAACUGUGUAACUGAGAUCUUACCUUGAGAAGGUUCAUUUAAUCAGAUACAAAAGACCACUUAUAAGGGGUAAAGGUUUACUGUACUUGUGGAGUUAAUGCCCCUAAGGCCUCUAAGGAAAACUGGCUGAUUACAUGCAUUACAGGGGCCCAGCUUGACAGGAAGUAGGGAAGGUCAUGUCUUGGUAGGUCAGGAAUGUUAAUGAACUUUGGAGAUAUUGAAUUCACCCAAAUUUAUAGAUAUUGAAGUUGAAAGCUGUUAGAGUGUCUUACAAUUGGUUUCUUAGCAAAUAUCUUAGCAAAAAAAAAAAAAAAUCAAAAUCAAAUAUCAAAGGCUUUUUCAAGUCUGAUCCUUUUGAAAUCUUUAAGAUAUUUCCUUUUGAAAUCUUCUUUAAGAUAGAAUUUAGUAGUUAAAUUUAUGGCUAGAUUUGCAAAGAAAACUUAAGGAAGAAUAUAUGACUGAUAUUCUGUGUAUUGCACUUACAUAAAUAAUCAGAACAACAUAAUGAGUAGAUUUUUUGUGUUUGUUUAUUUAAUCAGGAAUAAUGUUUCUUUAUGAUCAUUGUGUUCAUAGGUAAGGAGACUAUUGGGAAAUAGAGUAAGACUGAAGCAGGCAAACAACUGGUAUAAUGUUAUUUUUCAAAGAACAGAAAACUUUUUUAAUAUAGUGUAAAAAUCUAUGCUUUAUACAAUUGUACAUCUAAAUCUAAAAGAUGACAAUUAUUUUUAAAAGAUAUUACAUAGAGUAUAGGGACUUAGUAAUAAUAAUCUGUACUAAGAUUUUAGCUAUAGCUAACAAAUAUUGGAAGAGGAAUAAUACAUUGCAAUUUAUAGAGAAUCAUGAUACUAUGGAUUUGACAAUAAAAGUGAAUUAAUAUAUUAAUAGUCUUAAAUGGAAUAUUAAGUUGAUCACAAAUGUGUAUGUUUAUAUUCCUAUAAUACUGCAUAAUACAAGAUAAGUAAACUAUUACCCCUAUAACUAAAAACAGGGGAUAAAUUUUAUGCAAAGUCUAAAAACAAAAAGCAGAGAAUGAAAAGAUGGCAUAUGAUAAAAGUGGAAUUAAAGACUGACGAGUAAAGUCUUAAUUUUUCAAUGAGCAAAGUCUUAAUUUUCAAUCAUGUCUGAGUUACCAAAUUUUUAUUUGUAGGGGAAGUAUAACAAUAUAGUUUAAAUAUGAUAAAUUGUGCUUUAUCAUUUUGAGAACUCAGGAUACAGCUUAUUCAUACAGUUAUAGGUAUUUCAAGUAAGAAAGAUAGAUGCUGUUAAAAUAAAAACAAUGGAGACCAACCUUGAAAAUUCUCUGAGCAGACAAAACCAGUUUAGUUGUAAAAAUAAAGCUUUAUUUAGCUUAUUUUGCAAGACUAACUAAUGCUUCUCAAAAUCAUAAGCAGAUCUUGAACCUAUUCUCAAGGUUGACUUGAAGUGACCACUGACCAAUUCUCUAUUCAUAAAGAAAGUUCUAAUAUUAUUAUCAAUGACUGUGAUUAAUAAACAACCACUGCUUCUUCAUAUAUCAAACUGCUUUAUAAUGUAUCCCUGGACCUUAUUCUAUGGUUUGAUUUGAGUGCUCCUGGUUUAUAAACUUUUUGGUGUAUACACAAUAACAUUUACUGAUUACUACUUUGAAAAUGCAUUGGUUUUUUUAUUCUCUUAUUUUUGAACUUUUAACAAUGCCAAAAGUUUUGUUAACUAAAAUAAUGCAAAAUAGCUAAAGCAAAUAAUAUGUUUUAGAAGAAGUUAAAACUAGCUUUAAAGGUGAGAAUCCUAAAUGCAUUUUUUAAAUUUAAAGAUAAAAGCUUAUAUGCUUUACACAUUUUUUAAUGUUCACAGCUUUUUCUCAUAAAAGUGCCAUUGUUUUGUGCUUUUAAUGGAUUUUUAUUUAUAUACAUUAUUUUUGUUAUUUUUAUUUUCAGUGGAAUGUUCAUUAAUGUAAGUAGUAUUUAUUUUUGUACUUUAAUUUUCCCUAGUUUUGCUUCCAGGCAAAAGGCAUAAAAAACUCAUCAUCUUAUUGGAAAAAAAUAUUAUUUAAGUACUGACUAAAGAUUUUAGAAUAAGAAGAAUGUGGUCUCCACUUUUCAUUCCUCUGGAGAGCAUCCUGAAUAUUGUUCUUUGGCAUCCUCUCGGUAGUUGAGCCUUGCGCAGUCUGCACAAGCAUAGGAGGCCAUCCUGGAUACCAGCCAUAACCUUAUUCCAAACGGAUCUGUCAAACAUUUAAAGCUUCAAACUACCAAAGAGUUGGAAAAUCUGAAAUAUAAACUUUACAAGUUUGAAGGCAACACAUCCACAAGAUUUAAAAAAUUAAACAUUUUCAACAAGAAUGUGAAAAAUGGAAGAUAAACCUACAGAUUGGACUUCAGUUUUAGAUUUUUAUACUAUGAUGCAAUCAGAAUAAAGAAGAGGAAGGCUCCAAUUACUUUCUUCCUAAGGGGCAGUCAAAUUGUUUAACUACAAUAAAGGAAUAUUUGUAGAGGAAAUCCACAAGGGAGAUGGUGGCCAGAUUAUAUAUGACGAGGUUAUGAGGAAAAUACAUUUGACAGGUAACUUGCUAUUUUUUUUGUCAAACUUCAUUGUGAAAAUGGGAAACCGAUCUCUGCUUUCACUAUUACAGCUUGAUUUUCCUGUUCACUUUUCUGUAUGCAUCUUGAAAUGAAACAGGUUUUAUUCACAGAAGCCUUUCAGCAUUAUUCCUGUUCCACUCUACGUGGCUGAACUUUUUUCUCAUGAUAAUUUCUCUACAUUAUUGGAUAAAAGAAAGCUAGCUGCCAUCAUUUGAGCUAGUAUUUGUGGAAAUAAUUUUCUCAUUUAUAUCAGCUCUUUCCUGAAGACCUAAUACCUGACUCAAAUCAAAUGAAGGAUAAUUUACAUUUUAUACAAUUUCUCUUAUUUUUGUCAAUUUAAUAUGCUCUUAUUGAUAUUUUUCCUCAAACAGAAAUGAAAUGGUUUUGGAAGAUUAUGGUUCCAUAGUCUUUCCAGGAAUAUCUCACUUUAAUGAUUACAUGAAUUUGUGAGGAAUUGUAUUAUAGUAUCUUUGGCCAAAUGAAUCAUUUAAAAUGUGGUUGGGUACUCAAUAAUGUAAACUCCAAAUCAUUUUUGAGAUAUAUAUCCAGCGGUGAAAUUACUGGGUAAUUUGAUAGUUGUGGAUAAAGUGAAGCUUCCUGUGGUUGGAAUUCUCACCUGACCCUAGUUGGCUAGCUCACUACACAUGUGUGGGCGAUAUGUAAUUACUGACUCUAUGUAAAGUGUCCUGCCCAGUGCUCUGCAUGAUGUGAUGGCAUGGCUGCAAAGUUGCAGGAGAGCAGAGGCAAGACUGGAGUCGUGGCAGCGCUGAGGACAGAGGCCCAGAGGAUGGCUGUGCGGGACGGGAGGCCCAGAGGCAGAGACCAGCUUGCUGCAUGGAG